AGGAUGAACGCUGGCGGUCUGCUUAACACAUGCAAGUCGAACGGAGUACCUCGGUACUUAGUGGCGGACGGGUGAGUAACGCGUGAGAAUCUGCCCUUAGGUCGGGGACAACCAUUGGAAACGAUGGCUAAUACCGGAUAAGCCGAGAGGUAAAAGAUUAAUUGCCUAGGGAAGAGCUCGCGUCUGAUUAGCUAGUUGGUGAGGUAAAGGCUCACCAAGGCAUCGAUCAGUAGCUGGUCUGAGAGGAUGAUCAGCCACACUGGGACUGAGACACGGCCCAGACUCCUACGGGAGGCAGCAGUGGGGAAUUUUCCGCAAUGGGCGAAAGCCUGACGGAGCAAGACCGCGUGAGGGAGGAAGGCUCUUGGGUUGUAAAACCUCUUUUCUUGGGGAAGAACAAAAUGACGGUACCAAGGAAUCAGCAAUCGGCUAACUCGUGCCAGCAGCCGC
rnacentral:rRNA from 1 species